ACUCACAGGGAUCAGCUGGGACAACUUCCGGGGAGCCAGAGUGAUUGCCCUUCCAGGGAGCCCGGCCUAUGCCCGGAACCACGGCGUUUACCUCACCGACGCCCAGGGCUUCGUUUUGGACAUUUACUACCAGGGCACCGAGGCAGAGAUACAACGGUGUGCCAGGCCGGAUGGGCGGGUUCCACUGGUACAGCUGCCAGACCCAUGCGGGGGGCUUUGGAGACCUUCUGGGACAAGAAGGGAGGGUUCGCCUAUCUGCACUCCUUCCAGAAGAUUCUGGGGCAGGCUCGAACCAGAAUAUGAGUAAGAUCUGGAACUAGCAUUCAGGGGAGCCGGUGGAGCUAGGAUCUCAGGCAGGUGUGGCAGAAAGGCUGGAACCAGCAUGUGAGUAAUUUCAGGAAUACAGUUGGGAGGAAGUCUAGAAUCUGACUUGGGGGAUCCUUCUAGAAUGAAAAGCAAGGAUAGGAACAUUGGGUAAGGGUCUGGGACUGGACCUUGAGGAAGAUGGGGAGCUAUUUCUCAUUCUCUAUAUCUAGUUCAGGGAGGCCUGACAAUUGGGGUGGGGGUCCCAGAAGGUGGCUGUUGAGGGGUCCCUUGGUGGGAGCCCCUCCCAAGCUUGGAGGCUGGGCACUGGAGUGGCUCAAAGACAAAGGGCCCUGCCUGGUUUGGCAGUCAGCCUUGCUUGGCCCAUCUAUCUGUGUCCUUCCCAACUCAGGCCCCAGACUGGCUCCAGAGUCCCACAACCUGACCUUGACCUCUCUAGGUCUCAGGGAUCGCCUUCUUCUCUGUGGAGACUGCUGAGCACCUCCUGGCCACCCAUGUGAGCCCACCCUUGGAUGCCUGUACCUACAUGGGCUUAGACUCUGGAGCCCGGCCUGUCCAGCUGUCUCUCUUUUUCGACAUCCUGCUCUGCAUGGCCCGGAAUGUGAACAGGGAGGACUUCCUGGUGGGGCAGCCUCCAGAGAUGGGCCAAGGGGACGCGGACAUGAAA